rnacentral:rRNA from 1 species
AUUGAACGCUGGCGGCAGGCCUAACACAUGCAAGUCGAGCGAGCGGCGGACGGGUGAGUAAUGUCUGGGAAACUGCCUGAUGGAGGGGGAUAACUCCUGGAAACGGUAGCUAAUACCGCAUACCAUCAGAUGUGCCCAUGUGGGAUGAGCGAGUGGGUGGGGGAACGGCUCACCUAGGCGACGCUCCCUAGCUGGGCUGCGAGUGGGACCAGCCACACUGGAACUGAGACACGGGCCAGACUCCUACGGGAGGCAGCAGUGGGGAAUAUUGCACAAUGGGCGCAAGCCUGAUGCAGCCAUGCCGCGUGUGUGAAGAAGGCCUUCGGGUUGUAAAGCACUUUCAGCGGGGAGGCGUUACCCGCAGAAGAAGCACCGGCUAACUCCGUGCCAGCAGCCGCGGUAAUUC